AUAAGCUGUUUUAGGGGUAUUGUUUUAAUUGAAUUUGUAGUUUGAGUUAAAAUACUUAGAUGUUGUUAUGGGACGAGAAGACCCUAUAGAGUUUAACAUUUAUUUUGGCUGGUUUUAUGUUGUUUGAUUUAUUUAUUGGAGUUAAGUUGGAUGUUUUGUUGGGGUGAUGAGAAGAAUUAUUGUAACUCUUCUUUAUUUUUAUAUAUUUAUUUAUAUUA
rnacentral:rRNA from 1 species